AGGACGAACGCUGGCGGCAUGCCUAACACAUGCAAGUCGAACGGGGGUAGCAAUACCCUAGUGGCGAACGGGUGAGUAACACAUAAGCAAUCUGCCCUUCACAGGGGGAUAACAGCGGGAAACCGCUGCUAAUACCGCAUAAGACCACAGUACCGCAUGGUACAGGGGUAAAAACGAAUCAGUGGUGAAGGAUGAGCUUAUGUCCCAGUUAGCUAGUUGGUGAGAUAACAGCCCACCAAGGCGACGAUGGGUAGCCGACCUGAGAGGGUGAUCGGCCACACUGGAACUGAGACACGGUCCAGACUCCUACGGGAGGCAGCAGUGGGGAAUAUUGGGCAAUGGAGGAAAGCCUGAACCAGCCAUGUCGCGUGAAGGGAAUGAAGGUCCUAUGGAUUGUAAACUUCUUUUGCAGGAGGGUAAAGUGAGCUACGUGUAGUUCAUUGCAAGUACCCUGCGAAUAAGCAUCGGCUAACUCCGUGCCAGCAGCCGC
rnacentral:rRNA from 1 species